GACUUGAUCUGUGAUUCUCCAUGUGAUUAUACAGAAGACUGGUGUGGAUCUCAUGAUUCUCCAAUACAGGUAGUAAAUUUUUUUUUUUUUGGACUGGAGAUGAUGUGUGAUGGACUGAAUCUGAAGAUUCAGAAACAACAGAACAACAAAAAUCAUGAAAACAGAGAGAAAAACUCACAAUCUGAAGAAUUAAAGAAGAAAAGAUCCAUGAUGUUUUAUCAUCAGGACAGUGUGGAGCCAAAAAGACCAAACUUCUGUCAUGAUGAAGCUGUAGAGAGUCAUUCACUGAGAGACACUGACAGAUGAAAUAUAAACCACUGACAGAAACUACUGACGUGUGCAGCUGGAACUGAUGGAAGAAGAACUUUAAUAAAGCAAUAAUAAUAAUAAUAAUAAUAAUAAUAAAGGACACAAACAGGACAGAGAUGUUGGAUGAGACUACAUCAUCCCAGAGACUGUACAGGACGAGCGGAGCAAAGGACGGAUGAAUGGACCUUCAAAAGUGUGUUUUAGAUCACACACAUUUGACCUGUAAGAACAUUUCAUUUGUGUGAUUUAUGUAAAUGUGAGUGAUCUAUACUGAAAAAUACAGUCUCUGCUGAACCUUUAUGCAUCUGAACUAAGAAAGAAAAGCAAAUCACACAGAAAAACAAGAUCAAACUGAAAUGGAUUUUAGUUUCGAAAGGCCAGCAUGUAUCAGUAUCAGUGGUAAAGAAAGCACUAAACUACGCCAUCUGGAGGAAAAUAUGAGCCACUGCGUGUCAAUGCAUGUUGUCAUAAUCAUCAGUAAUACUGUAAUUAUGAAUGUUGAUAUCAGUGAACACAGAUCAGUUCAGAUGUUUGGAUCAGAGAAUCAGGUGUGGAAUCUGAAUCUGUCCAUCAAAUCAUACUCAAUAUUGUAAAUCACUUUUUGUUUUUAUUUAUUUUUUUUUUUUACCGCAAAAACCAUUCAGUGUGUGAAAGGUCAUGGAUGAACUCUGUUUCUACUGUAUAUCUGGAACACAUGAGUCAGUGAAAUAAAGAAAUAUAAUAAAUGGACAAAUGUAGAAGUUUACAAUAUUUUAAAGCAUAACAUUUUCUUAUUGUGUGUCAGUUAUUCUGAUGUUUGAUGUGUUUGUUACGCUGAAUCAGAUCACAUCAACAUCUCAGAAAUAAUCCAGAUCUAAACCUGCACUGUUUUGACCUUUGACCCCUGUAACACAGUGAAGUGUCGCCCUCUACAGGUGAUCAUCAGAAUCACAG